AUUGAACGCUGGCGGCAGGCCUAACACAUGCAAGUCGAGCGGAUGAAGGGAGCUUGCUCCUGGAUUCAGCGGCGGACGGGUGAGUAAUGCCUAGGAAUCUGCCUGGUAGUGGGGGAUAACGUCCGGAAACGGGCGCUAAUACCGCAUACGUCCUGAGGGAGAAAGUGGGGGAUCUUCGGACCUCACGCUAUCAGAUGAGCCUAGGUCGGAUUAGCUAGUUGGUGGGGUAAAGGCCUGCCAAGGCGACGAUCCGUAACUGGUCUGAGAGGAUGAUCAGUCACACUGGAACUGAGACACGGUCCAGACUCCUACGGGAGGCAGCAGUGGGGAAUAUUGGACGAUGGGCGAAAGCCUGAUCCAGCCAUGCCGCGUGUGUGAAGAAGGUCUUCGGAUUGUAAAGCACUUUAAGUUGGGAGGAAGGGCAGUAAGUUAAUACCUUGCUGUUUUGACGUUACCAACAGAAUAAGCACCGGCUAACUUCGUG
rnacentral:rRNA from 1 species